rnacentral:rRNA from 1 species
AUUGAACGCUGGCGGCAUGCUUUACACAUGCCAGUCGAACGGCAGCACGGGCUUCGGCCUGGUGGCGAGUGGCGAACGGGUGAGUAAUAUAUCGGAACGUACCCAGAAGUGGGGGAUAACGUAGCGAAAGUUACGCUAAUACCGCAUACGAUCUAUGGAUGAAAGCAGGGGACCGCAAGGCCUUGUGCUCCUGGAGCGGCCGAUAUCUGAUUAGCUAGUUGGUGAGGUAAAGGCUCACCAAGGCGACGAUCAGUAGCUGGUCUGAGAGGACGACCAGCCACACUGGAACUGAGACACGGUCCAGACUCCUACGGGAGGCAGCAGUGGGGAAUUUUGGACAAUGGGCGCAAGCCUGAUCCAGCAAUGCCGCGUGAGUGAAGAAGGCCUUCGGGUUGUAAAGCUCUUUGUCAGGGAAGAAACGGUAGAGGCUAAUAUCCUUUGCUAAUGACGGUACCUGAAGAAUAAGCACCGGCUAACUACGUG